rnacentral:rRNA from 1 species
AGCGAACGCUGGCGGCAGGCUUAACACAUGCAAGUCGAGCGGGCAUCUUCGGAUGUCAGCGGCAGACGGGUGAGUAACACGUGGGAACGUACCCUUCGGUUCGGAACAACUCUGGGAAACUGGAGCUAAUACCGGAUACGCCCUUAUGGGGAAAGGUUUACUGCCGAAGGAUCGGCCCGCGUCUGAUUAGCUAGUUGGUGGGGUAACGGCCUACCAAGGCGACGAUCAGUAGCUGGUCUGAGAGGAUGAUCAGCCACACUGGGACUGAGACACGGCCCAGACUCCUACGGGAGGCAGCAGUGGGGAAUAUUGGACAAUGGGCGCAAGCCUGAUCCAGCCAUGCCGCGUGAGUGAUGAAGGCCUUAGGGUUGUAAAGCUCUUUUGUCCGGGAUGAUAAUGACGGUACCGGAAGAAUAAGCCCCGGCUAACUUCGU